CAGCCUCCUCAAGAACAGGUAAGGGAGGAAGGGACCAACGCUGACAAAGGGAGGGAGCAGGAAGUGAGGUAUUAGGUCCUACCUUCAUUUCCUGUUUUUGAGGCAAGGAAGGAAACCAUGCUCACAGGAUGGAUUAUGAGGAGGAGGCAGCCAAAGCCAACAGGAUCCAAAGGUAACACAAAUCCAAACAAAAAACGUCGUUGGAACAUUUUAAACAUUUCAAGCACAACAUCAUCAGAGGACUUGUUCCCCCCAUUCCCCCCAGUGAUAUCCUGGGCCCUUUACAGAAGUGCUGGCAGAUCAUGAAUUGAUGUAGUCCCAACACUCCUUUGAACAUGAACUUGGACAGUUUGCAGCUCUGGCGGAGAGGAGGAGGAGCGCCAGAGAGACCCAUAAUGACCACUUUCUUUGUGUGACAAGCCGUCUGCUUCGUGUCUGGGAAAAGAGGAGCCCAGCACGCAUCCUCAUGGAACCACCCACGCAGCCUGGGACGCUGAACCGCAGUCGUGUGUCAAUAAAGUACAUACUCUGUUUCUCUCGCACACAGGGACACACUGCUAUUUCCUAAGCGCAUUUCUCCUCCUCCUCCUGCUUCACACAGCUCUCUGCACCUCUCUUCUGCUUCGCCCUCCCACAGACAGGCAUUAUUGGCACACAGGAUGAGGCAUCCGUUAAAUCAGUGGCAUUCAAAACUAUGCUCUUCAAAGAAACCUUGGAUGUCUCCGGAGGGCUCCCAAUGAGUACAGUAGAGUCUCACUUAUCCAACAUAAAUGGGCCGGUAGAAUGUUGGAUAAGCAAAUAUGUUGGAUAAUAAGGAGGCAUUAAGGAAAAGCCUAUUAAAUGUCAAAUUAGGUUAUGAUUUUACAAAUUAAGCACCA